UUCUGUGUGUUCUGUGUGGAAUCACAAGGGCUAGAAAAUUCCAUCUCCCAGACUCCUCUGCUACUGGUUCUAGAAUAGAUCAUGCCCAAGGGCUGCCCUCAUGGGAAAAGAGUGGGUAAUCUACAGCUGGGUAGCAAAAGAUCAGAUGUUAACUCUGAGGAGCAAAUGGACUGAUCGUGCCACCAAACAGAAGAACUGGUCAAGGUGGUGCUCCAGACACCACAGCGGCACAGACUGGCAUAAUUCCACAGAGAUGGCAAUGAUAGUCCAGGGCCACGGCCUAUGACUGAUGGCUUGUGUAACAUCUGAGGCAGCAAGGAUCAAGAGUCAGAGGCAAGAAGGCUUCUGGAGGGGAAGACUUCAGUACCAGGUGUCCGAGGCUAUGUAUGUAUCUUCUCUGGAGUAUGGAGCUCAACUUUGAAAAUGAAUGAGAAGGAAAACCAAGACACUCAAGUAACUAAAGAGGAAAAAGAAAGUGACGUCUUACCCUAAUAUGAGUUUAUGAAGAAGGAAACUCUUUUCUCAUAAAGAAGGUGUGAGACCACAUGUCCUAUUCAUACUGCGUGCAAAUGAAUGAAGAAUGAUCUCCCACCCAUACAUACUGAGUGCAAAUGAAUGAAGAAUACUGGUGCUCUCCCAGUCAACUAAACUCCAUCCAGACGCAUACACCAAUGCAAUUUCAAACAAGUUGCCAAAUAAGAUGCAUAUAGCGCUCAAUGUCUAUUGAAUGGAUGCAUAAAACCCUAUGAGAAUAAAACUUCCCUUAUCCUUC
rnacentral:lncRNA from 1 species